UUUUUAAAUCCAAGCUUUGUGUCACCAGAUCUAAGUGGUGGCAAUGGUCACCGUAUCCACUGUUAGCGUAACACACCCGCUUUAAGGACACUGACUGCUAUUCAAUAUACAACAGUGAAAAAAGUGGUUGUUUUUUUUUAAAUACAAGCUUUGUGUCACCAGAUCUAAGUGGUGGCAAUGGUCACCGUAUCCACUGUUAGCGUAACACACCCGCUUUAAGGACACUGACUGCUAUUCAAUAUAUAACAGUGAAAAAAGUGGUUGUUUUUUUUUAAAUCCAAGCUUUGUGUCACCAGAUCUAAGUGGUGGCAAUGGUCACCGUAUCCACUGUUAGCGUAACACACCCGCUUUAAGGACACUGACUGCUAUUCAAUAUAUAACAGUGAAAAAAGUGGUUGCUUUUUUUUAAAUACAAGCUUUGUGUCACCAGAUCUAAG